ACUUCGCCAUCUUGGAAUACGAUUUUUUUCUAUACCUAUUUGCACUGAAAUAGAGUUUUUACUAACAAUUCAUGAUAUAAAGGUGAAUUCAAGCCAUAAAAUGGAUGAUCGUGAAAAACCUGUGCCCUAAAGAAGCUGCCAGCGGACUCCAACUGUUUGAAGGAAUGCACUGAUACUCUUGGAGUCUCAAUUUAUCAUACGGAGUCAUCAAUAACCGGAGAUACAAUCAGGAAGGAUCGGGAGACAGCCUUAGGGAUCUUUGGCUGUAGCACUAGGAAAUAUGCCUGAUAUUAUCGGUUCAUAUUGACCCACUCCCCGCGAUUACUAAAAUAAUAGCUGUCGUUUAAAUAAAUACCGUAAUGACGUUUUCUUCUUAGUGCUGGAAAUCAGCGAGUGGAAUCACUACCUCCGUAAACAAAGCCAUAGUGCAUUCUGGUGACGUCAGCACAGGUAGGGCUCCUACACCAAUAAAAAUUUAUUGAUUUCAGCUGAUCUAUAUCAGCUAGUGUUUUUAUUGGUGUAGGAGCCCUACCUGUGCUGACGUCACCAUCAACCACCUGACAUGCACUAUGGCUUUUGUAAGGGUGGGAAAAUGAAAAACAAGAAAAGAUUGUACAGGUUUUUGAUAUUAAAAACAAAUCAAUAAAUUAUUUUAUUACGAAAUUAGAAUUGUAAUUAGAAUUUAUUACGAAAUAAUAAUCAGAUGAAUAUUUCAGGGGCUACUCGCUUUGCUGAUCUGUGGUCGCUUAGUCUAUGAUAAUAAAAAAUAAACAAAGAUUACUAUUUAGAAUUAUAGAUCUGAAAAAAAUUCAAAAAAAAAUGUACAAUUAACUAUUAUCUUACUUUACCUUUACAAGAGUCCCUUGGCCUGCUCUUCAAGGUCCAGUUAAAACACUCCCGAAUUUAAAUUUAAAAUAUAUAUAUA
rnacentral:lncRNA from 1 species